GGAAUCGCUAGUAAUCGCAGAUCAGCAUGCUGCGGUGAGUACGUUCCCGGGUCUUGUACACACCGCCCGUCACACCAUGGGAGUCGGUAACACCCGAAGUCGGUAGCCUAACCGUAAGGAGGGCGCCGCCGAAGGUGGGAUUGAUGACUGGGGUGAAGUCGUAACAAGGUACC
rnacentral:rRNA from 1 species